UACAGAGGUGGCAAGCGUUGUUCGGAAUUACUGGGCGUAAAGGGCGCGUAGGCGGCCUUCUAAGUCAGACGUGAAAUCCCCAGGCUUAACUUGGGAACUGCGUCUGAUACUGGGAGGCUUGAGUGCGGGAGAGGGAUGUGGAAUUCCAGGUGUAGCGGUGAAAUGCGCAGAUAUCAGGAGGAACACCGGUGGCGAAGGCGGGUCUCUGGGCCGAUACUGACGCUGAGGAGCGAAAGCGUGGGGAGCGAACAGG
rnacentral:rRNA from 1 species